rnacentral:rRNA from 1 species
UACAGAGGUCUCAAGCGUUGUUCGGAUUCAUUGGGCGUAAAGGGUGCGUAGGCGGCGCGGUAAGUCGGGUGUGAAAUCUCGGGGCUUAACUCCGAAACUGCAUUCGAUACUGCCGUGCUUGAGGACUGGAGAGGAGACUGGAAUUUACGGUGUAGCGGUGAAAUGCGUAGAUAUCGUAAGGAAGGCCGGUGGCGAAAGCGAGCCUCUGGACAGUUACUGACGCUGAUGCACGAAGGCCAGGGGAGCAAACGGG